UUUCUUGAUUCAGUGGGUGGUGGUGCAUGGCCGUUCUUAGUUGGUGGAGUGAUUUGUCUGGUUAAUUCCGUUAACGAACGAGACCUUAACCUGCUAAAUAGUCACGCGAACCGGUCCGCAAGGGCUCAAAGUUCGCGGCUCGACUUCUUAGAGGGACUAUUCGCACCCGCCAGCGAAUGGAAGUUUGAGGCAAUAACAGGUCUGUGAUGCCCUUAGAUGUUCUCGGCCGCACGCGCGUUACACUGACGGAGUCAACGAGCGUUUUUCCUUGCCCGAUAGGGUUGGGUAACCUCCUGAAACUCCGUCGUGAUGGGGAUAGAUCAUUGCAAUUAUUGAUCUUGAACGAGGAAUUCCUAGUAGGCGCGAGUCAUCAACUCGCGCCGAUUACGUCCCUGCCCUUUGUACACACCGCCCGUCGCUCCUACCGAUUGAACGGUCCGGCGAGAACUCCG
rnacentral:rRNA from 1 species